UUAUUUAUGAGUAUACAAAAUUUUCACCCGAUAUGGUGGAGGUAUCAGAAGGAGUAAUCCCAACUUCAUACCAGAUCUGUAGUGGAAUUCUCUAAUUAUUUUUUCUAUCGAAUCGGUAUCGUUCAAUACCGAAUAAUGUCGGUUGAAAUACCGAUUGAAAUACCGAUUCUACAAAUACAAGUAACCGACGGAAAAAUCGAUAGCAUUUACCGACGAAUAUCGAUGGAAUGACAAGUGUCGAAAAAAUAUAUAUGCCAAAUUCAUAUUUGAAAAUGGAUAACAUCACUGCUCAAUUUUCUGGAGUCAGAGAAGGGUUUGGCCGAGGGAAAGUUUGUGGGAAGGAAAGUACAAGAAAAAAGUGGUUAGAGAUUGCUGAAGACCUAAACAAUAUCUCUGGAGCGGUAAAAACUCUAGAACAGUAGCAAACGGUUUGGCGCGACCUCAAGUUUAAAACGUCAUCAAAAUUUAAGACCAGUAUCCAUCCUUAAGGAAAAGGACACGAUGUCCCAGGGCAAGCAUGGCGCAACACGCAGCACUGCUCAAUUUUCUGGAGUCAGAGAAGGGUUUGGCCGAGGGAAAGUUUGUGGGAAGGAAAGUGCAAGAAAAAAGUGGUUAGAGAUUGCUGAAAACCUAAACAAUAUCUCUGGAGCGGUAAAAACUCUAGAACAGUGGCAAACGGUUUGGCGCGACCUCAAAUUUAAAACGUCAUCAAAAUUUAAGACCUUAAAACGGAAAAGAAAUGCCACUGGUAAUAUGCCGUUUACCAAGGUAUUCCUCAACUCUAUCGAGGAGAGAGUAGUCGCCAUGGUUGGAUGGGAAUACAUGAAUGUCCCGACAGUCUAGAAAUUGAAGUGGAAAAUACUCUUAACGUGUUAAUAAAUGAAGACACAAGCCAACAUGAUGUAAACACCUAUGAAGUGGAAGUUUUGUAGAAUGAGAUUGACGCAUUACAAAAUCACACUUCUUUCAAACAUGGUACACAAGAAAUCGACAAAUCCUCGUAUAAUAAACGUCUGAAGAAAGACAGCAACAACAAAGAAGAGUUUUUGAAAAUAGCCUAAACACAAGCUGAAGCAUUAUUGGUAAUGCUUUCAGUAGCUUUCCUACAGUUUGCUAAUUUCUUAUAGUUGGCAUCUUAUAUUCGUGCCUUCGAAAUUCUUACUUAAAAGAUCAUUUCUAUUUUGAUACAUUUCAUAUUGUUUCUGUGUUUCUUUUAGAUCCUUGCCAAUGCCCAAAAGGAAACUGCACAGGCAAUGGUUAAAAUAUCGGAAAACUUUGCAUUUCUUGGUGAAAUUUUAGCGGCUCAAAAUAGAAUUGAAAAUUGUGUCAGCAACUAUUUUUCUAUUUUAAAAUUAUUUUAUGUGCUUAAGAUACUAUGUACAUAUGUAAAUAUCAGAAAUGUAAAAAAUCAAUUUUAAAUAAAGUCCUGCCAAAAUAA